rnacentral:sRNA from 3 species
GCAGGAGGUUCGACUCGAGCGAAGCGAGAGAACGUUGCGUUAGCAACGGCCCGCAGGGCGAGUCACGCAGUGGCGAGUCAUCCUCUAUCACCGGCAG